UUUUUUUUUAAACCGAAUUAUCGGGUACUUUCCAUGAAAUUCUUGACACAAGAAGCACCCCUUUUCUAGUUAUUCUAGGUUUUUCAGCUUCUUCAAUUUUUCUGCGUCUCUCACACCUGGGUCGGUGUCACUGUCUCCUUUCGACGUCUCUCUCAGGUAAAAUCUUUUUCUUUUAACUAACUUUCCUGUUCUGCAACACUUUUGCUUACAGUGUUUAAUCUCAGAUGUUUUGUUGAUUUUAAAAAAAAAGGCUUUUAAACUUCAAGAUCUCAACUUUUUUCACUGUUUAAGUGAGUUUCGCAAAUAUAGUCAGUUCUAGAAUCUAGACCCAGGUAACGAAGAAGUGAUACGGAGUAUUUGUAUAGCUGACCCAACUAAUUCGGAAUUGAGGUGUAGUUGAUUGAUUGAUUAAUUAAAGAUUUCAGCUUUUGUAGCGCAAGUUGUUGUUUUCUGGUAAUUUUGGGUUUGUGUGUUUUCUAGCUUUGUUGAAGGAGGGUUUAAUUAUUUAUUUAUUAAAGUUUAUAGCUUGGGUGUUCAAACUCUACCUCAGACAAAAGCCUGUGCACCAUUGGCCCUCGGGGAUUUUUCGGUUAUAAAAAAAAGUUUAUAGCUUGGCUUGUUUAGCUCGCUGAAAUAUUUUCUGUUGUUAAGAUAUCCUUUCCAAGAGUGAUCUAAAGUUGUUAAGAUAUCCGGUCCUAGUUUUAUCCGUCGUGUCGAUAAUUGUUUGCACGAAACGUAUAGUUUAAUCUUUAUGAAGAAUAAUGCUUUCGCUUAUAAAGAAAUGGGCGAGUGGAUAAGUAGCUGUGAAAGAAGUUAUCAACCUUUUUAUAUAUAAAACGGAGUUUACUUUGUUACUUAAGCUUUGUUAUGACUUCGAGAGCUAUAAGAAAAAACAACUGUUCUUGGUAUAAGUGUUCGUUGCAAAGUUUGUGUUCGUGGUAAUGGAAUACUGUUGUUUUCAGUGUUCAGUGUGAUUUUCACUUAACAGCCCGUGGAAGGGGUGUUUCUCAAAAUGAUGGCACAGCUUGAUGAGAGGUGACUCGGGUUAGGACUGUGGGAGGUGACUCAGAGCCUUUUCCGGUGGUUAUGGGCUACACCAAGGAUAUAUGCUCAGCCCGUUCUUAUUUUCGUUGGCGAUGGACGCAUUGACAGUCUGACACACCAUAUUCAAGGGGAGGUGCCAUGGCGUAUGCUGUUCGCUGAUGAUAUAUUAUCUGAUUGAUGAGACGUGAGAUGACGUUAACGAGAGACUGGAGGUAUGGAGGCAGGCCCUGAAGUAUAAAGGUUUCAAGUUGAGUAGGACCAAGACGAAAUAUUUGGAGUGUAAGUUCAGCGACGUGUCGGGGGAAGCGGAUGUGGAAGUGAGGCUUGACUCAGUAUCUGGGUGGGGUGGAUGAAAUGGAGGUUAGUGUCUGGAGUCCUGUGUGAUAAGAAUGUGCCACCAAAACUUAAAGGUAAGUUCUAUAGAGCGGUGGUUAGACCGACCAUGUUGUAUGGGGCUGAGUGUUGGCCAAUCAAGAUUUCACAUAUCCAAAAGAAGAAAGUAGCAGAAAUGAAGAUGUUGAGAUGGAUGUGUUGGCACAAUAGGAUGGAUAAGAUUAAGAAUGAGGAUAUUCGGGAGAGGGUGGGCGUGGCUCCCUUAGAUGACAAGAUGCGGGAAGUGAGGCUUAGAUGGUUCGGGCACGUGCGGAGGAAGAGCCUAGAUGCUUCGGUUAGGAGGUGUGAGCGGUUGGCUUUGGCAUGUACGAGAAGAGGUAGAGGGCGGCCUAAGAAGUAUUAGGGCGAGGUGAUUAGGCAGGACAUGACGCGACUUCAGAUUUUCGAGGACAUGGCCCUUGAUAUGGAGGUGUGCAGGUCGAGCAUUAGGGUUGUAGGUUAGGGGGUAGUCGAGCGUUUCUCCUCGUUGUGCCGGUUAGUCUGAUAGUGUUUUGUCUAGGACUGCUAGCGAUUUUUGUUGUGUUUCACACUUUUUUUUUUUUGGCCUUUCCAUUUAUUUGUUGUCUUUUGCGAUGCUGAUACUAUUUUUCUGGUUUUUGUUACUGUUACUGAUCUAUUGUCUCUGAGCCGAGGGUCUCCCGGAAACAACCUCUCUAUUUCUCCGGGGUAGGGGUAAGGUCUGCGUACACUCUACCCUUCCUAGACCCCACUAGUGGGAUUCUACUGGGUUGUUGUUGUUGUUGUAGUAGUAGUUUGAUGACGACGACAACAACAACAACCCAGUAUAAUCCACUAGUUGGGUCUGGGGAGGGUAGUGUGUACGCAGACCUUACCCCUACCCUGGGGUAGAGAGACUGUUUCCGAUAGACCCUCGGCUCCUUCCCUCCAAGAACUCCCACCUUGCUCUUGGGG
rnacentral:lncRNA from 1 species